rnacentral:rRNA from 1 species
UACGAAGGGGGCUAGCGUUGCUCGGAAUCACUGGGCGUAAAGGGUGCGUAGGCGGGUCUUUAAGUCAGGGGUGAAAUCCUGGAGCUCAACUCCAGAACUGCCUUUGAUACUGGCGAUCUCGAGUCCGGGAGAGGUGAGUGGAAUUGCGAGUGUAGAGGUGAAAUUCGUAGAUAUUCGCAAGAACACCAGUGGCGAAGGCGGCUCACUGGCCCGGUACUGACGCUGAGGUGCGAAAGCGUGGGGAGCAAACAGG